rnacentral:rRNA from 1 species
GAUGAACGCUAGCGGCAGGCUUAAUACAUGCAAGUCGAGGGGCAUCAGGGGUAGCAAUACCUGCUGGCGACCGGCAAACGGGUGCGGAACACGUACAGAACUUUCCUUUAAGCGGGGGAUAGCCCAUAGAAAUGUGGAUUAAUACCCCAUAGUAAUGCUGGUUGGCAUCAACUGGUAUUUAAAGAUUUAUCACUUAAAGAUGGCUGUGCGUCUGAUUAGGUAGUUGGAGGGGUAACGGCCCACCAAGCCAUCGAUCAGUAACUGGUGUGAGAGCACGACCAGUCACAC